rnacentral:antisense_RNA from 1 species
AAACCAUAUCAGUAACCAUAUGAUAUUUAAAAUCUUGAGAUCAAUUGUGUCAAGUAAAACAAAUCAUGCCAGAUAAAAAUUAUGAAUUUUUCCAUAAAAGCAUCAUCUUCAGGAAGGACCUCAGGAGGGUGUUCUGCCAUCAUCACGUUAUGAAAAGCAUUUGAAAGAAAGGCUGACUGUUGUUGACAAGGAGGAGGGGAUCCUUCCUGAGGAUGGUAUAACUUUGCGGCAGCCCUCCCAGAAAGACUCCUGUGUUAUCUCCAAUAACAGUACUACCAUUCAGGAUGGCAGAGGAACCUAGAGAAGAGGAGAUGAGAAAUACACCUUCACCAGGAUACUCUAGUUUUACUAGCUCAGCAAAUAAUAAAAUCCUUCACCAGUC